GACGAACGCUGGCGGCGUGCUUAACACAUGCAAGUCGAACGAAGAGCGAUGGAAGCUUGCUUCUAUCAAUCUUAGUGGCGAACGGGUGAGUAACGCGUAAUCAACCUGCCCUUCAGAGGGGGACAACAGUUGGAAACGACUGCUAAUACCGCAUACGAUCUAAUCUCGGCAUCGAGGAAAGAUGAAGGGUGGCCUCUAUUUAUAAGCUAUCACUGAAGGAGGGGAUUGCGUCUGAUUAGCUAGUUGGAGGGGUAACGGCCCACCAAGGCGAUGAUCAGUAGCCGGUCUGAGAGGAUGAACGGCCACAUUGGGACUGAGACACGGCCCAGACUCCUACGGGAGGCAGCAGUGGGGAAUCUUCCGCAAUGGACGAAAGUCUGACGGAGCAACGCCGCGUGAGUGAUGACGGCCUUCGGGUUGUAAAGCUCUGUUAAUCGGGACGAAAGGCCUUCUUGCGAACAGUUAGAAGGAUUGACGGUACCGGAAUAGAAAGCCACGGCUAACUACGUG
rnacentral:rRNA from 1 species